rnacentral:rRNA from 1 species
UACAGAGACCUCAAGCGUUAUUCGGAUUUACUGGGCGUAAAGGGUGCGCAGGCGGCCAAGUGUGUCGGAGGUGAAAUCUUGCAGCUUAACUGUAAAAUUGCCUACGAAACUACUUGGCUAGAGUAUCGGAGAGGAUAGCGGAAUUCCAGGUGUAGCAGUGAAAUGCGUAGAUAUCUGGAGGAACACCAAUGGCGAAGGCAGCUAUCUGGACGAUUACUGACGCUCAGGCACGAAAGCAUGGGGAGCGAAAGGG